UGGGCUGCCAGGAUGGUGAAAAGGGCGCUCGCUGCAAAAGAUGCUUUCUGUCCCAAGCUGUGAGGGGAGGUCGGCACGAAAGCCGAACGAAAGCUUUGGCACACAAUCAAGCGCGAUUAUGAAUGAGAGCAAUUAAGACAAGUGAAGAACCCUGGAGCUCCCACCCAGCCCACAUGGUCCCAAGGCCAAGGGCGGCAGCCAAGGGGGAGGGGAGCGGGGAGUAGCGCAGAGCACUGAGGAAGCAUACAUUCCUAGCCCUGCAAAGUAAAAGAAGCCCUUCCAAGAGAAGAGGGGUGGGUGGGUUUUUAGUCCGCAGCUCGCAGAGUUGUUUAUUUUUCUAAUUAACACCAAGUUAAGGUGGGGUCAGAGGAAAUUCCGUUCGGAAAUGUUCGCUUGGGGCAGAGUCAGAAGACCUGCCGGUCUCGGAUCUACCCAGGUAUGGAAUGACCUAACACUGUAAAAUGGAGAUAAUGACAACACGGGCCUGUACUCCCUUAGAGGAAUGUGGUGGCGACAGAUGGGCACAUCUGAAACCAAGGUCAGAUUUGAGCUGGAAGAGGUCUCAGAGGUCCUUGUCUAGACCAGCAUUUUACAGGUGAGGAACAGGGAAGUUUAGUGACUUGCUCCAAGAUCACAGAGGUAAGAAGUACCAGAAGCCAGAUUUGCACCAGGUUACAAAUUCAAAUUCAACCAAUAAAACCAUAAUACUUUUAUGUAAAGGUAAAGCCCAAUUCAUGAGCACCUACUUCAACAACAGACGAAAGAAUCCCCACAAAAAAGAGCAGAUGUCAGUGCCAACAGCCCUCCCCACACAGGCAACCCGGGCAAAGCCCACAACACCAUCACCCUAGACUCCAGCCAAAAAGGGGGCAAAGGCUCUCUGGCCCUGCUAGCCCUGGCUGCAGCCCUCUGGAGCUUUUUCUAGCCCUGAUCCCAGAGUCACAACCAAGAACCAUUUCAUCUGGGACAACAGCAGUUGGAUGGGAAGAAGUUGGGCCCAGUAACAACCUAAAUCUGCAAGCAGAUAGGGAAGGAGAAGACAGGACCCUAUGGAGAAGCCUGAUGAUGGUGAGACCUUAGGAAGGAAACGAGGGGGUCAUCCUGGAAAGAAAAUCAUGCUCCCCUCAAAAAAAAGCACUCCUCCCAUCCUCAAGCUGUUCCCCCAUGCCACUUACUUCUCUGCCUGGUCCUUGCAUCUCUACAAUACCAGUCACCUGGAAAGUUGGUGCUGUUAUUCUGUGGGCAGCUGAUGUCAUGGGAGCCUGCUGCUUACCAUAGGCCAUACCCUGCUGCGUUCAGACCUACCUGCUCCCAAGCCCCAGGCGCUAUUUUAAGGUCAGAGUAAGAUCUGAGAUUCCACUCAGCAAAAUUUGAGUCCAGAGGGUGGCCCCGUAGUUAUGUAGUUGCAAAGAACACUAGAACCUGGAUCUGACUCUGUGUACCUUGGGCAAAUUACUUAAUCUCUCUGGACCUCAAUUUCCUCCUCUGGAUUAGCAAAAUUGACCCCCCCCAAAAUGGAAAAUGACAAAUAUUGGGAGGGACAACAGGAAAACAGGCAUGUUGAAGUACUGUUGGUAGGGCUGGGAACUGGUCCAGCUAUUUUGGAAACCAAUGUGGAACUAUGCCCCUAAGUUACUAAACUGCAUGUACCCUUUGACUCAGCUAUACCAUUGCUAGGCCAACAUCCCAAAAAAGAUAAAAAAGGAUUUACGACAUAUUGUGAAUGAAAUACGUAGGUACAAAAACAUGUACUGUAUACAAAAACAUUUAUAGCAGAUUUUUUUUUUGAGAUGGCAAGGCAUUAGAAGCUAAUGGGUUAUCCAUAAAUUGGGGAAUGACUACAUAAGUUAUGUUCUACGAAUGGAACAGAACACAUUUGCUAUAAGAAAUGAUGAAAGGAACUGUUUUAGAGAAAGCUGGGAGGACUGUAUAAACUGAUGCAGAGUGAAGCAGGCAAAACCAGCAGAAUGAUUUAUUCUGUAACAACGAUGUAAAAAUGAACAGCUUUGAAAGUCUUAAGGACUGUUACCAAUGAAAUGAUCAAACAAGAUUCCAGACAAUGAAGAAUGCUACCCCCACUCCUAACAGAGCUGAUGGGCUAAAUAUGUAGAAGGAGAGACACAUUUUUGGACGUAGCUAAAUGGCACUGUUUUGCUUGACUAUGCAUAUUUGUUACAAGGAUGUUGUUUUUCAUUCUUUUUAGUUGGGAGGAGAUGGAAGAGAGAAAACAAAUGCUUGUUAAUUGGGAAAAAAAACCCAUAUGGGUUGGACCAAAGUAUUUCUGAUGUCUAAGUCUCCCAGCUCUAAAUUUAUGAUCAUAUGUAUUGUACAUCUAGAUUAUAAUAUCUUUGAGUCAAUAAAUAAUGAAUGGGCCAAAGAAGCCAUUGUUAACCUUAAUGGAAACAUAAAUCAGACCAGUCCUGGGCCCAAAUCUGGGCCAACCUGAGCUAUUUUUACCUUGACUAUUUGAGCUGGAGCUACCCUCUGACAAGGGCCCUGUCCUGCUACCCAAAAACCCAAGGUGAGCCUCAUGUUCAAGGUUUUUCGUUCCAGCCUGUCUGCUGGCUUGGGCCAGGGCCAGAGUGGUUACCUGGCGGGGGUACUUUGGUCACCACAGCAAAGGAAUGAGAAUGAUGCCUCUUAUGGAUUAGAUCUGAGUCUGGACCAAUUAGUCUACACAAUUCCAAGCAAAUGGUUCAUGCCAGAGUCAGAAUAUAGAAGUUCUACACAGACUGUGGUUUCUCCAACUCUGUUUAUACUUCUGUAGUUCAUACCGUUCCAAAUCAGAUUUACUGAAUUCAUUCAUACACACACACACACACACACACACACACACGCAUGCACGCGCAAGGUAGCCAGGUAUAGGUGGCUUUGGAAUCUUAAAGAUUCCUACCUGCGAUAGGUACUAGCUGUAUAACUCUGAGUGAUUUAAUUUCUUCAUGGUGGGCAACUCUCUGAGACCAUAAAUUACAGAUGGUUU